AUUGAACGCUGGCGGCAUGCCUUACACAUGCAAGUCGAACGGCAGCACGGACUUCGGUCUGGUGGCGAGUGGCGAACGGGUGAGUAAUGUAUCGGAACGUACCUUUCAGUGGGGGAUAACGUAGCGAAAGUUACGCUAAUACCGCAUAUUCUGUGAGCAGGAAAGCAGGGGAUCGCAAGACCUUGCGCUGAUUGAGCGGCCGAUAUCAGAUUAGCUAGUUGGUGGGGUAAAGGCCUACCAAGGCGACGAUCUGUAGCGGGUCUGAGAGGAUGAUCCGCCACACUGGAACUGAGACACGGUCCAGACUCCUACGGGAGGCAGCAGUGGGGAAUUUUGGACAAUGGGGGCAACCCUGAUCCAGCCAUGCCGCGUGAGUGAAGAAGGCCCUCGGGUUGUAAAGCUCUUUCGGCCGGGAAGAAAUCGUGUGGGCUAAUACCCUGCAUGGAUGACGGUACCGGAAUAAGAAGCACCGGCUAACUACGUGCCAGCAGCCGCGGUAAUACGUAGGGUGCGAGCGUUAAUCGGAAUUACUGGGCGUAAAGCGUGCGCAGGCGGUUUAGUAAGACAGGCGUGAAAUCCCCGGGCUCAACCUGGGAACUGCGCUUGUGACUGCUAAGCUAGAGUACGGCAGAGGGGGGUGGAAUUCCACGUGUAGCAGUGAAAUGCGUAGAGAUGUGGAGGAACACCGAUGGCGAAGGCAGCCCCCUGGGCCGAUACUGACGCUCAUGCACGAAAGCGUGGGUAGCAAACAGGAUUAGAUACCCUGGUAGUCCACGCCCUAAACGAUGUCAACUAGGUGUUGGGUGGGUAAAACCAUUUAGUACCGUAGCUAACGCG
rnacentral:rRNA from 1 species